GCCGGGGAUCGGCCCCAAAGGCUGCUCAGCUCUUUCGCCCGGUAGGACAUUUGCUCCUGCCCCGGCGCCCCGGCCACAGCUGUCCAGGGUCAGCUUCUCCUGGUGGAGUCGGGAAAAGGGAGCGUCAGUGCUGAGCGAGCUUCCGUCUCCUCCCUCAGUGUUUCUGCCCCAGAUGAGCUGGCAGAUGUAGUGGCCUGGGCAAAGCUGAGGACACAGAUGCCAGCACCGUGCCACUCCCAGGCUGGCUCCAUUCCCGUCACCUGUCACCUCCUGCUGAGUCCCCAGGCGUCAGUCAAUGUCGGUACAUCGGUGCAACGAGGCACUGGUGACAUGUUUGCUCAGCAACUGCUUGGCUCUGAGUCUGCAGACCCACCAGAGAAUACCAGCUUGUUUUUGCCUUUUGAAGUCUGUCCUUGGGAUUUGGCGGAGUAGCUGGAUGUGUGCUUAGCCCAUAGUGGUUGACACUGUCACCAUUGUUUACCCAGAACCUCGUGUACCAGGCAUGGCUCCCGGCAUCAAAAUACAGCAGGGCAUUAAACCUCCCUCCUGGUGGGUCUGUCUGUUUUGGUACCGUAAGGGCUCAGCCAGCCUCUGAACGUCAGUGAGAUAACGCGGCCAGUGAGCUCGGGUCAAUGUAAGAAUUCCGGUGACUGAGUUAGAAGCAUGCUUCCAAGCUGUGCGUGUCCUCGGCAUCCAGAAGCGGAGCCUGGAAGCUUCCGAAUUUCUCCAGAAUGCAGUCUACAUUCACCUUCGGCAAACAUCACCAGGGCACAUGUGGGGUUUGUGCCUGCAGGCUGGAAUGCUGCUGGACUCCCUGAUCCAUCACCGUUAUGUCCUGGAGCUGCUCCGGUCAGUGAAUGAUUUUCUGUGGCUUCUAGGUAAUGUGGUCUGAGGCAGAUGAUCAGAUGUGUAGUUAAAUUACUAUUACUUGAAAUAAGAGUAACCUAGAAACAUGGCUCUAACAAUACAGUGUGAGGGAGAAUUGGCUGAGCUGCUUGCAGUGGGGAGUCUUAUCAGGUGACUCCCUCACCGUGAUACUUGCCAGUAUCCGCCCCAGCCCUGCACGGUAGUCCUGCCGAAGCAAGCAUGCUCUUUGCUCAGAAACGCACUGAAUUUCCUUGUGCCUCUGUUUGUUGGCUUGUUUUUUGAAAGCACGUCUUGCCCUUUGCUUAAAUGCCAUCCAUGGUAGUCACUACUUACACUCAUUCUACUGGACUUCAUUCAUAAAUAGCUGCUGAAUGGAAGAACAGAAUGUAGUAUCUCCAUGUAGUGGAACAUUAUUCACAUGUAAGAGUGAAUAAAAAAGAAAAAACAAAUAAAGAGGAAAAUGAAAAAGGCCACCUGUUCUGGGAACUCCUCCCUGACUGUUCAACCCGCACUUUUCCCUUUGAAACCCAAUCACUUAUGCUCCACCGUACUCUUUUUGAUAGUACUUACUACCUUCUAAUAAACUUUAACGUUUUCAAAAAAAAAAAAAAAAAGAGAGAGAGAGAUGCUGAUACCACUUCAAAAUGGACAAGCCUUGAAAACAGCAUUUUAAGUGAAAGGAAGCAGACACAAACGGCCACAUAUUGUUGAUUUCAGUGAUCUGAAAUGCCCAGAAAAGGCACAUGCAGAGGCAGAGAGC